AUGGAUGAGUCUGCGGGCUCCAGUGACGAGCUGGCCUGGAGAGUGUGCCAAGGACACCCAGUCCCUCCCCCACCGUGGGUCCUGAGCGGCGGGACACGGGGUACUCCAGUGAGACCCCUGCUAGGCAUUCUGUCUUGUUUUGCAGAUGGGGAAACUGAGGCACAGAGCCGGACAGUGACCCAAACACUGGGAGCUGCCAGUGGGGAGCACAGAGCUCAGGCCUGGCCCAGCUGGCUCAGGGUACAGAUCCACUGUUACUUCCUGGCUGCAACCUUGGCAAGUAGCUUCCCUCCUCGGAGGGGAAUCACCUUUCCUAUCUAUAAAAUGGCCCAGAGUGUCUCCCCUACACUGCGCUUAUCCAUCCUCAUCCACCCUCGCCCAUGAACUCUUACACAAGCUUAAAAACCCUA
rnacentral:lncRNA from 1 species